GACGAACGCUGGCGGCGUGCUUAACACAUGCAAGUCGAACGGAAAGGCCUGCUUUCCCUUGUGGAUUGCGGGUACUCGAGUGGCGAACGGGUGAGUAACACGUGAGUGAUCUGCCCCCAACUUGGGUAUAAGCCUGGGAAACUGGGUCUAAUUCCCGAUAGGACUGCAGGGUGGUGCCUGUGGUGGAAAACGAUUUUCUAGUGGUUGGGGAUGAGCUCGCGGCCUAUCAGCUUGUUGGUGGGGUAAUGGCCUACCAAGGCGGCGACGGGUAGCCGGCCUGAGAGGGUGGACGGCCACAUUGGGACUGAGAUACGGCCCAGACUCCUACAGGAGGCAGCAGUGGGGAAUAUUGCACAAUGGGCGGAAGCCUGAUGCAGCGACGCCGCGUGGGGGAUGACGGCCUUCGGGUUGUAAACUCCUUUAGACCGCGAGGAAGCCACCUGGUUGGAAGGGUGGUGACGGUAGUGGUAGAAGAAGCACCGGCUAACUACGUG
rnacentral:rRNA from 1 species